rnacentral:lncRNA from 1 species
UUUAUAGCUAGUCACUGUCACACAACUUUGGUGUUGCUAUAAUGUGUGAAUAUAUCUACAAUUUUUUUCCAUAGGAUUCCUGAGCCUCUAGUGUGCUGAUGAGAUGGCCUUAUAUCUUUUUUGUUUCUUCUGAUUUAGAUCAAAAGGAUGACUUGCACACAGGGAGAAUAUUUGGGCUGAGAACAUCACAGGACUGGGACCAGGAACAUCAAAAUGUAUGCAUAUACUUUAAGUUGUUCCAGCAAACGAAACCCGCUUUCAUUGAAGUACUGCAGAGCAUGUCUGUGAAGCCAAGGAACGUCCUUGACAGAGGAAG